rnacentral:rRNA from 1 species
GACAGAGGGUGCAAACGUUGUUCGGAACUACUGGGCGUAAAGCGCGUGUAGGCGGCUAUGCAAGUCGGAUGUGAAAGCCCUCGGCUCAACCGGGGAAGUGCACCCGAAACUGCAAAGCUAGAGUCUCGGAGAGGAUCGUGGAAUUCUCGGUGUAGAGGUGAAAUUCGUAGAUAUCGAGAGGAACACCGGUGGCGAAGGCGGCGAUCUGGACGAUGACUGACGCUGAGGCGCGAAAGCUAGGGGAGCAAACGGG